AAAAGAGGAACUGCCACCCAGAAUGUGCCCAGUCUUGUCUAACCUUGGAAGCUAAGCAGGGUCAGGCCUGGUUAGUACUUGGAUGGAAGAAAAGAAGAACUAUACUGUUUGUUUC
rnacentral:rRNA from 1 species